GAUGAACGCUGGCGGCGUGCCUAAUACAUGCAAGUCGAGCGAACAGACGAGGAGCUUGCUCCUCUGACGUUAGCGGCGGACGGGUGAGUAACACGUGGAUAACCUACCUAUAAGACUGGGAUAACUUCGGGAAACCGGAGCUAAUACCGGAUAAUAUAUUGAACCGCAUGGUUCAAUAGUGAAAGACGGUUUUGCUGUCACUUAUAGAUGGAUCCGCGCCGCAUCAGCUAGUUGGUAAGGUAACGGCUUACCAAGGCAACGAUGCGUAGCCGACCUGAGAGGGUCACCGGCAACAAGGGGACUGAGAUACGGCGCAGACUCCGAUGGGGGGCAGCGGUGGGGAAUAUUGAAGAAUGGGCGGAAGUCUGAGGCAGAAUCGCCGCGAGCGGGAAGACGUCUUUCGAGGUGUAAACCGCUUUCGCAGGUGAUGAAGCGUGAGUGACGGUAAUGGGUAAGAAAGCACGGGCUAACUACGUG
rnacentral:rRNA from 1 species